AUGAACGCUGGCGGCGUGCCUAAUACAUGCAAGUCGAGCGAACGGACGAGAAGCUUGCUUUUCUGAUGUUAGCGGCGGACGGGUGAGUAACACGUGGAUAACCUACCUAUAAGACUGGGAUAACUUCGGGAAACCGGAGCUAAUACCGGAUAAUAUUUUGAACCGCAUGGUUCAAAAGUGAAAGACGGUCUUGCUGUCACUUAUAGAUGGAUCCGCGCUGCAUUAGCUAGUUGGUAAGGUAACGGCUUACCAAGGCAAUGAUGCAUAGCCGACCUGAGAGGGUGAUCGGCCACACUGGAACUGAGACACGGUCCAGACUCCUACGGGAGGCAGCAGUAGGGAAUCUUCCGCAAUGGGCGAAAGCCUGACGGAGCAACGCCGCGUGAGUGAUGAAGGUCUUCGGAUCGUAAAACUCUGUUAUUAGGGAAGAACAUAUGUGUAAGUAACUGUGCACAUCUUGACGGUACCUAAUCAGAAAGCCACGGCUAACUACGUG
rnacentral:rRNA from 1 species